UAUAACAAUGGAUUAUUUGGUACCAAACCAACAUUUCUUAUUGAAGUAGAAGUCCUGGGAGUGCAUUCUGACGAAGAACAGCAAAGGACCUGAGCCCUAGGACCAUGCCUCAGGACUACCUGGCCUGAUGACUCCUUGCUCUACCCAGUCCACCUGGCCGUGCUGCUGCUCCAGUUUCAACUGUUCUGCCUGCGGCUAUGGAACCCUGACCUGUUCACCGGACGUGAUGCCUGUACCAGACCUGCUGUUUUCAACUCUCUAGAGACAGCAGGAGCGGUAGAGAUACUCUGAAUGAUCGGCUAUGAAAAGCCAACUGACAUUUACUCCUGAGGUGCUGAUCUGUUGCACCCUCGACAACCACUGUGAUUAUUAUUAUUUGACCCUGCUGGUCAUCUAUGAACAUUUGAACAUCUUGGCCAUGUUCUGUUAUAAUCUCCACCCGGCACAGCCAGAAGAGGACUGGCCACCCCUCAUAGCCUGGUUCCUCUCUAGGUUUCUUCCUAGGUUCUGGCCUUUCUACUGAGUGUUUCCUAGCCACCGUGAUUCUUUCUGUACAGCACUUUGAGAUAUCAGCUGAUGUAAGAAGGGCUUUAUCAAUACAUUUGAUUUGAUCUGAUACUGUCUGGUCAUAAAGAGUAUGACAUUAUUGAUGCCCGUAGCAUGGACUGCAAGGGAAGCCAAUGAGCAUUGGGCCUCGAUAGAUAGAAAAGUAAAUAAUAAUAGCCAAUCAGCGUUGAGCUCAACUGUGAAUGGUCGUGGCACACACCACAUUUUUUUCAAGGGAAUCCAGUUUGGAUUUGGCUUCUCUUCUAUCACAUCGCAUCAAGAGAAAUAUGUCAAUGACAUAAACAACAUGAAUUGUUGCAUCUCAUUGUGUUGUUGUCCUCCGGUGGCUAGCUUCAUUUACAUUUUACAUUUUUUUGUCAUUUAGCAGACGCUCUUAUCCAGAGCGACUUACAGUAGUGAAUGCAUACAUACAUUUCAUGCAUUUUCUUUUUUAAUUGAAUUUGUUUUAUUUUACAUUUUUCUCCGUACUGGCCCCCCGUGGGAAUUGAACCCACAACCCUGGUGUUGCAAACACCAUGCUCUACCAAAUGAGCCACAGGGAAGGCCACCUAGCUAGUUAAAAUUGUCCCUUUA
rnacentral:lncRNA from 1 species